AGUGAACGCUGGCGGUAGGCCUAACACAUGCAAGUCGAACGGCAGCACAGUAAGAGCUUGCUCUUACGGGUGGCGAGUGGCGGACGGGUGAGGAAUACAUCGGAAUCUACUUUUUCGUGGGGGAUAACGUAGGGAAACUUACGCUAAUACCGCAUACGACCUACGGGUGAAAGCAGGGGAUCUUCGGAACUUGCGCGAUUGCAUGAGCCGAUGUCGGAUUAGCUAGUUGGCGGGGUAAAGGCCCACCAAGGCGACGAUCCGUAGCUGGUCUGAGAGGAUGAUCAGCCACACUGGAACUGAGACACGGUCCAGACUCCUACGGGAGGCAGCAGUGGGGAAUAUUGGACAAUGGGCGCAAGCCUGAUCCAGCCAUACCGCGUGGGUGAAGAAGGCCUUCGGGUUGUAAAGCCCUUUUGUUGGGAAAGAAAAGCAGCAGGUUAAUACCCCGCUGUCCUGACGGUACCCAAAGAAUAAGCACCGGCUAACUUCGUG
rnacentral:rRNA from 1 species